rnacentral:rRNA from 1 species
CAACGUAUACAAUCUGCCUUUUACAGGGGGAUAGCCUUUCGAAAGAGAGAUUAAUACCCCAUAAUACAUGAAAUAGCAUUAUUUUAUGUUGAAAGCUCCGGCGGUAAAAGAUGAGUAUGCGUCUGAUUAGCUAGAUGGUGAGGUAACGGCUCACCAUGGCCACGAUCAGUAGGGGAUCUGAGAGGACUACCCCCCACACGGAUACUGAGACACGGAUCCG